GACGAACGCUGGCGGCGUGCUUAACACAUGCAAGUCGAACGGAAAGGCCCCUUUGGGGGUACUCUUGUGGCGCAUGGGUGAGUAACACGUGAGUAACCUGCCCUUGACUUUUGGAUUAACUCAGGAAACUGGGGCCAAUACCCGAAAGGAAUCCUUGCUGCAUGGUGUGGGUUCGUAAGCUUUGGCGGUUUUGGAUGGACUUGCGGCUUAUCAGCUUGUUUGUGGGGUAGUGGCGUACCAAGGCGUUGACGGGUAGCAGGCCUGAGAGGGCGACCGGCCACAUUGGGACUGAGAUACGGCCAAGACGCCUACGGGAGGCAGCAGUGGGGAAUAUUGCACAAUGGGCGGAAGGCUGAGGCAGCAACGCCGCGUGCGGGAUGACGGCCUUCGGGUUGUAAACCGCUUUCAGCAGGGGCGAAGCUUGUGGUGACGGUACCUGAAGAAGAAGCACCGGCUAACUACGUG
rnacentral:rRNA from 1 species